rnacentral:rRNA from 1 species
UACGUAGGGGGCUAGCGUUAUCCGGAAUUACUGGGCGUAAAGGGUGCGUAGGCGGUCUUUCAAGCCAGAAGUGAAAGGCUACGGCUCAACCGUAGUAAGCUUUGGAACUGUAAGACUUGAGUGCAGGAGAGGAGAGUGGAAUUCCUAGUGUAGCGGUGAAAUGCGUAGAUAUCAUUUGGAACGCCAAUGGUGAAAACAGGUAGCUGGGAGUGUGCUGACGCUGAGACACGAAAGCCAGGGGAGGCAAACGGG